UCGUUGAGCUUCUCGCUGCGUGGGUCCGAGUCCAUCACCGCGGCCUGGAGGGACACGGUGGGGACACGGCGGGGGACAUGGCGGAUGAUGACGGUGCGCUCUGGCUUGUCCCCUCCUCUCGCCUUCUCAUCCCCCUUCAUUCCCCAUUUUCUGUCACAUUUCACCGUUUCCUCCCUCCCUCUUAUUUCUCCUCUCUUUUCUCCCAUUUCUGUCACCUCCUUCCUCCAGCUCCUGCCGCCUCCCUCCCUUCCCUUUCUGUCCCUCCUUUCCCUCCCCAGUCCUUUCCCUUCCUGCUCCAUUUUCUGUCACCAACACCAUCUUCCCAGUCCCCUCUUCACACUUUCCUGUCUUGUGUCCUUACACCUUGUCCCUUUUCAUCCCCCAUUUCCCCUCACCUUCUUCCUGCAGCUUUGCCAGCCUCUCUCCUUCCCACUCCCUCAAGUUUUGCCACUCUUUUCCCCUCACGUUUUCUCACCCUUUUCCCCUCAUGUUUUACCACCCUUUUCCCCUCACGUUUUUCUGCCUUUUCCCCUCAUGUUUUCCUGCCUUUUCUCUCGUGUUUUCUGCCCUUUUCUCCUCACGUUUUCACUCCCUUUUCCCUUCACGUUUUCACUCCCUUUUCCCUUCACGUUUUCACUCCCCUUUCCCUUCACGUUUUCUCACUCUUUUCCCCUCACGUUUCCCUGGCCUUUUCCCCUCACAUUUUCACUCCCUUUUCCCCUCACGUUUUCCCCACCUUUUCCCUCUCACGAUUUCCCGACCUUUCUCCCCUCACAUUUUCACUCCCUUUUCCUCUCACAUUUCCCUGCCCUUUUUCCCUCACGUUUUCUCACUCUUUUCCCCUCAUGUUUUACUACCCUUUUCCCCUCACGUUUUCACCUCCUUUCCCCCUCAUGUUUCCCUGCCCUUUCCCCCCUCACAUUUUCACUCCCUUUUCCCCUCACAUUUUCUCACCCUUUUCCCCUCACAUUUUCUCACCCUUUUCCCUUCACGUUUUCUGCCCUUUUCCCCUCAUGUUUUCCUGCCUUUUCCCCUCACGUUUUCUCAUCCUUUUCCCCUCACAUUUUCACUCUUUUCCCCUCACGUUUUCACUUCCUUUCCCCCUCACGUUUCCCUGCCCUUUUCCCCCUCACGUUUUCACUCCUUUUUCCUUUCACGUUUUCCCGCCCUUUUCCCCUCACAUUUUCCCGCCCUUUUCCCUCACAUUUUUCUGCCAUUUUCCCCUCACGUUUUCCUGCUCUUUUCCCUAUUUUCCCCCACCCUUCCCCUUCAUGUUUUCCUGCCUUUCCCCCCUCACUUUUUCACUCCAUUUCCCUUCUAUUUUCCCACUUUUUUGCCUCACAUUUCCCCACCUUUUCCCCUCAUGUUUUCCCACCCUUUUCCUCUCACAUCUUCCCACCAUUUUCCAUCCACUCUUUGCCCUAAUUUUUGUCCCCUUUUUCCGGCUGUUUCUGUCCCUUCCUGACUCCAUUUUCUGUACCCUUUUCAUCCCCAGUCUGUCACUUCUUCCAGCAUAUUCUCUUCCCUCUUUUGCGCUCCCUUUCCCAUCUAUUUUUGUCCUCCAUUUCUUGUCACCUCUUCCAGCCUUUCCUGUCGCAUUUUCUCACCAUUUUCCCCCUGAUUUUUGUGCCUUCAUCCCUUUCUUUUCUCCCACUUUCUGUCUGUUCUUACCCACCUUUCUUCCAGGUUUUCUCCCCAUUUUCUCUCCCACAUUCCUCUCAUUUUCAGUUCCCUUUUCCUCCUUCUCUGUCCCAUCUCAUCCCCGUUCUCAUCUCCUCUUCCCCCUUCCUUCUUCCCCUCACCGUUCAGUCCGUGUCCCCUCGUCCCCUCACCCUUCAGGCCGUGUCCCCACAUCCCCUCACCCCUCAGGCCAUGUCCCCUUGCCCUCUCACCCCUUAGACCGUGUUCCUGCCAUCCCCUCACCCUUCAGGCCAUGUCCCCUCAUCCCCUCACCCCUCACGCCAUGUCCCCUCGUCCCCUCACCCCUCAGGCCGUGUCCCCUCGUCCCCUCACCCCUCAGGCCGUGUCCCCUCGUCCCCUCACCCCUCAGGCCGUGUCCCCUCGUCCCCUCACCCCUCAGGCCGUGUCCCCUCGUCCCCCAGUCCCCCGGACUCAGGACUCUCCCAGGCUCUCAGCGUUUAUUGUCAGCCCUGGGGCUCGGGCGCCUCGGGGCGCGCGGGCGCGGCACAGAAGGGCGCCGGGUAGCGGAUGAACAGCCAGUCCUCCUCCUUCUUGAGCCAGCGCAGCAGCUUGGUCAGCACGGCGAUGGCGCCCGCCUUCGUCACCAGCGGGCUGAAGCAGCUGUACAGCUCGAACUUGCUGGUCACCUGUGGGAACCCACACCUGUUAACGCCCCCCUGACACUGAGCAUCCUGUAAAUUGUGGGAUCUACUGAUGACAUUGCAUCCCGUUAACAGUGGGAUUUACUGACCACCACCAGUGAGCAUCCCGUAAAUUGUGGGAUCUACUGACGACACCGCAUCCCGUUAAUUAUGACAUUUACUGACAGCACCACCAACCAGUGCCCCCCCCCAACUCCAGAACCCUCUCAGGACAGCACAAACACGCGCUGCUGACUCCGGGCCCUGCUGCCGGCUCCUUCCCCGCGGCUCACCCAGGCCAGGAGCGUUUCCUUCUCGGCUACGUGGUAGAGCAGGCGCAGGGGCCGGUGCGGGCUGUGCACCCGGGGGGGGGGGGGGGGGGGGGGGGGGGGGGGGGGGGGGGGGGGGGGGGGGGGGGGGGGGGGGGGGGGGGGGGGG
rnacentral:lncRNA from 12 species